rnacentral:rRNA from 1 species
UACAGAGGUGGCAAGCGUUGUUCGGAAUUACUGGGCGUAAAGGGCGCGUAGGCGGUCCUUCAAGUCCCGCGUGAAAUCCCCCGGCUCAACUGGGGAACUGCGCGGGAAACUGUAGGGCUUGAGUUCGGGAGAGGGAAGCGGAAUUCCCGGUGUAGAGGUGAAAUUCGUAGAUAUCGGGAGGAACACCAGUGGCGAAGGCGGCGAUCUGGACGGAUAUUGACGCUGAGGUGCGAAAGCGUGGGGAGCAAACAGG